GCCCCAAUAGCUUAAUUUGAAGCGCCGGUUUUGUAAUCCGGAGAUCGGAGGUUAGAAUCCCCCUUGAGGCU
rnacentral:tRNA from 1 species